GGAAUUCUGCUGCCCUCAGCUGUGUGAUGAAGUGGGUAAAGGAGUUGGCCAGGGGGACUGAUGGUGUCAGAAACCAACCCGCCAUUCCCACCCCACCUCGUGUCCCUGGAGCCUCCAAGAGGAAGUUGCAUCCCCAUGCCGACUGAGCAGUUGCAUUCUUGCAUCCCAGGACUCCUGGCCAACAGAGCACCAUGAAGCUGUGCCUCAGGUACAGAGGCCACUAACACCUGAAUGAGACAUAGAAGUGCUCUGAACAGCAAGCCCAAGCACUGCUAACCCGCUUAUGAGAAGCUGGCUGACACAAUCCAUCCGCUUCCCGAGGCCUGAGAAGAAUAUGAAAUCAGAUUAAUCAGAUGAAGACGACUCAUCUGAAUCCCAUCACAUCAGGGUGAGGCUGUAAGCGGAAGGGUGCUGGGCACUCUGGGGUCCUAAACACCACCUACAAAGCAGAUCUGCAGAAUGGGACAGAAAGGAAUCAAUUAAAUAUAUCUCUGCUGCACUCAACGCAGUUCCAUGGGUGUCUGCAGAAAUUAGGGGUUCCACAUCCUUCCCAAGGGCUCUGCUGCACCACUCCCUUUCUCUCUCAUUGCCCAUAAGGGCUGGGCGUCCCGCCGAGCUCGGGAUGGACAGGUGAUAUUUAGUGACAGUUUUUGAAGUUGCUUUUCCCAGAGCCAUUACAAAACGUACAACCAGCACAAAUCUGACUGUAGGGUGAAUUUGCCACCUUGAAAUCAAAUUCUCAUGGAAAUGAAAUGGCUGACCCCAAAUCCCCCGAAUGCUGGAUGAGCUCGCAUGAUAAACAACUUGUAAUGGCUCUGCUGGCGCUACCGACUCUGUUAAAUGUCACUGCUUCUCUAAAUACCUUCCGGGAGAUGACUGCUCUAUCUGUAUUCUGUAUUUUCCCCUUUUUAAUAUCAGCGUCUGCAAUGUUGCCAUCCUGGAAGCCAUUGUCCAGGGAUUGCAGAGAGCCCCAGACUCAUUUUGCUCUCUGUCACGUCAGUCAUUUCUCAGUAUCCACAUCAGUGUUUAGCUCACAACAACUUUACAGCAAGCUGCCUGCUGCCUGGCAGGCCAGGCUGGCACAGACCCCACUCUGCUCCUCUGGAAGGGCCAUGCACAGCCCCAUGGGGACACAUCUGCUGGUCGCUGCUGCCAAGCCCUUAUGGUCAUCAGCAUCACCACCUGGUCUUGCUUCCCUUUCAAGACCACUUCUUGUUUUAAGUCAGCAGAAUGAUCGCUUCAUGCUUUUAUUACACGGAUCUAUAUUUGGGGUGCUGAAAAUGGUUUGCAUCUAAUUAGCCUACCCCAUCCCCCCCCAAAAAAGGUGCCAAACUCAUCUUGUUAAACCACAUGAGCAACACCAUGCAGAUAGCCCAGCACAGCGGGUGCAUUCUGUCACAUAGCAAACCCUGCAUUGCUCUCUCUAAAUGUCUGAAAGUCUGUAAAACAGCUCUAAAUACAAUUAGGGAGCAGUGGAAGCAAAAUGACUGGGGCAUUUGCAUCCAGCUGCUUGCCUGGAGCAUGGGCUGCUGUGAGCAGAGCUCAAGGAUUCAAGCGUUGGCCACAAUAGCAGUAACACAGAG
ensembl:lncRNA